rnacentral:rRNA from 1 species
AUUGAACGCUGGCGGAAUGCUUUACACAUGCAAGUCGAACGGUAGAGGGGGCAACCCCUUGAGAGUGGCGAACGGGUGAGUAAUAUAUCGGAACGUGCCCAGUCGUGGGGAUAACGUAGCGAAAGUUACGCUAAUACCGCAUACGAUCUAAGGAUGAAAGCGGGGGACUCGCAAGAGCCUCGCGCGAUUGGAGCGGCCGAUAUCAGAUUAGGUAGUUGGUGGGGUAAAGGCUCACCAAGCCAACGAUCUGUAGCUGGUCUGAGAGGACGACCAGCCACACUGGAACUGAGACACGGUCCAGACUCCUACGGGAGGCAGCAGUGGGGAAUUUUGGACAAUGGACGCAAGUCUGAUCCAGCCAUUCCGCGUGCAGGAUGAAGGCCCUCGGGUUGUAAACUGCUUUUGUACGGAACGAAAAGGUUUCUAUUAAUACUAGGAGCUCAUGACGGUACCGUAAGAAUAAGCACCGGCUAACUACGUGCCAGCAGCCGCGGUAAA